AAAUACUAAAUAAAAUUAUUACGUUAGCUUAAUUUUCGUGACAGCUUUUCUCUUCUUUUUUGCCAUGCUUAAUUUAAGUCACUUUCAUGUGCUGGUAGCUUAAAAUAAAACUUGUUUAGGAAGUUUAUUUCUUUCUCCCUUUCAUAAUGCUGCAAAUAUGAGUAAGACGCUUAUUAUUAUAAUUAAAUAGCUGCGAUAAAUAAUCAUUUGCAUCUUUUUGGGGGUAUUUCUUUUACAUGAACUGUGAAAUACGGUAUCUCAAAUUUUGCGCGUAACUCAAAGCGAAAUAUUACUCGCUCAACUGCUCGUAUUUAAAAAAUCUGGUAUGUCGAGGCACUAGAAUGUUGAGGUUCAUCAAAAAAAAAGGGAAGAUCUGAUUUUUACCAGUAAUAAGACUACAGCAUACUAAAUGACACAAGAUGUUCUUUCUCUAUUACCUCUUACAUUUGACAUAAAAGUAGGAAAAGGUUUAACAGUCUAUGCCUACAUCAUAGAUCUCCAGGACUAAAAGUACACAAAAUGGCAAUCAGUAUAUCACAAGUGUAAUAACACAUGCAUCUAAUCUGCUUCAGUGGCGAGAACUGGGUGAAUCCUCUCAAACAUUAAUCAGGAACUAGGCAUACCUAAUGAGCGUCAAGCUGAUACAGUAGAUGUACAGAAGAGUUUAUACACAAGGAAGUGAAAAGUGAUGUAAAAGGCAACUAAUACUUCCAUCUACCAUAGUUAAACAAGAAUCUGCAAAUGGUGAUAAUUGCAAUAAUCUUGAUAUAUUAAUGUUUGGCUUUAUAAUUAUAUGCAAUUGUUUCAUAAAUAAAUUAUUUCUCAAAAUU